rnacentral:rRNA from 1 species
UACAGAGGUCUCAAGCGUUGUUCGGAUUCAUUGGGCGUAAAGGGUGUGUAGGUGGCGCGCUAAGUCGGUUGUGAAAUUUCGGAGCUUAACUCCGAAACUGCAUUCGAUACUGGCGUGCUUGAGGACUGGAGAGGAGACUGGAAUUCAUGGUGUAGCAGUGAAAUGCGUAGAGAUCAUGAGGAAGACCAGUGGCGAAGGCGGGUCUCUGGGCCGUAACUGACGCUGAGGAGCGAAAGCAUGGGGAGCGAACAGG